rnacentral:rRNA from 1 species
GACGAACGCUGGCGGCGUGCCUAAUACAUGCAAGUCGAACGCAGUGGGGACGGGUGAGUAACACGUGGGUAACCUCCCAUCAGAGGGGAUAACACUUGGAAACAGGUGCUAAACCGAUACUGAUGGAUGAACCCGCGGUGCAUUAGCUAGUUGGUGAGGUAACGGCUCACCAAGGCCACGAUGCAUAGCAGACCUGCGUGGGUGAGAGGCCGAACGGGGACGGAGAGACGGCCCAGCCUCCUACGGGAGGCCGCAGUGGGGAAUCUUCGGCAAUGGACGAAAGGCUGACCGAGCGACGCCGCGUGAGUGAAGAAGGUUUUCGGAUCGUAGAACUCUGUUGUUAGAGAAGCUGUAUCUAACCAGAAAGCCACGGCUAACUACGUGCCAGCAGCCGCGGUAAUUC